rnacentral:rRNA from 1 species
AUGAACCUCGCUUGCGGGGGGAUUAGUGGCGAACGGGUGAGUAACACGUGAGUAACCUGCCCUUAACUCUGGGAUAAGCCUGGGAAACUGGGUCUAAUACUGGAUAUUGACUUUUCACCGCAUGGUGGGGGGUUGAAAGCUUUUGUGGUUUUGGAUGGACUCGCGGCCUAUCAGCUUGUUGGUGAGGUAAUGGCUCACCAAGGCGACGACGGGUAGCCGGCCUGAGAGGGUGACCGGCCACACUGGGACUGAGACACGGCCCAGACUCCUACGGGAGGCAGCAGUGGGGAAUAUUGCACAAUGGGCGAAAGCCUGAUGCAGCGACGCCGCGUGAGGGAUGACGGCCUUCGGGUUGUAAACCUCUUUCAGUAGGGAACAAGGCUACACGUUGUGUGGUUGAGGGUACCUGCAGAAGAAGCGCCGGCUAACUACGUGCCAGCAGCCGCGGUAAUACGUAGGGCGCAAGCGUUAUCCGGAAUUAUUGGGCGUAAAGAGCUCGUAGGCGGUUUGUCGCGUCUGCCGUGAAAGUCCGGGGCUCAACUCCGGAUCUGCGGUGGGUACGGGCAGACUAGAGUGAUGUAGGGGAGACUGGAAUUCCUGGUGUAGCGGUGAAAUGCGCAGAUAUCAGGAGGAACACCGAUGGCGAAGGCAGGUCUCUGGGCAUUAACUGACGCUGAGGAGCGAAAGCAUGGGGAGCGAACAGGAUUA